rnacentral:tRNA from 1 species
GUCUAUGUAGCUCAAUAGGUAGAGUAAAGGGUUGAAAACCCUUGGGUUGUUGGUUCAAUCCCAAUCGUAGGCA